GUUAGUUUACAGUGUAAACUUUGCAGUGACAUGAUUUAGUAAGUUUUUUAGUUAAAAGUAUCUUCAAGAGAAAAGUAAAUAUGAGUACUAGUAAAGAGACGGGUAAAAGCAGGAUCACCAUAGUAGUUUAGGACACCUUUUGGAACCAGUCGUGACUCGUGAGUGUAAAUUUUGAAGGACAUAAUUGUGUUAUCUUAGAAUGUUUUGCCCUCUGUGUCAUUGUUGCUGCCUAAUACUUAUUUAAUUGGAUAACUCAGUACCUUUGAUUGUUAUAUUCGAUAAACAUGCCGAUAUUUUGCCUGAAUGUUAAGUGUGUGCGAGUAGAAAUUGGAAAUGCAUGCUAAUAUAUUUGAGGCUGUUUUCAGCUGACAGUUGCAGGCAUAAAG
rnacentral:misc_RNA from 1 species